GUCAAUCCCUUAAUAAAAAUACUGUCUUGGAUGGAUAUCUUUAAAUUUGAUUAAAUCAUGCAAAAUUUGAACAAGUUGUGAGUGAUGCAGUUAAGUAGUAAAAAUGAGUAUCACAAAGGUGGUAAUUUGAAAAGAUCUGAAAUGAAACCUCUCCAACUAAAGCGCCAAAGUUGGAAUUGUGCAUCCUUACAGAUACUAUAUAAUUACCAAUCCAGCAAGCAAAGAAAAGGCGCGGAAAAGAUAUAUCAAAGAAUCCUGGAGAAAAUAUUGAUGGUCAUGUAUCAAAUAAACUUGUGAAAGUGGGCAAGAGUGUCGUUGUGAAGACUUCAUCAUUACCUGUGAAAAAUAUGCUCAGUUCCUCAAAUAAUGUUGGCGUACCUAGUGAACAUUAUGAAGACCUGAAAUUUCAGAAGCAAAUGGAUGUCUCUGGAAUUAGUUUGAAAAAGAAAANUGCUGAUGCUACACCAGUUUCGG
rnacentral:lncRNA from 1 species